UACAGAGGGUGCGAGCGUUAAUCGGAAUUACUGGGCGUAAAGGGUGCGUAGGUGGUUUGAUAAGUUAGGUGUGAAAGUCCCGGGCUUAACCUGGGGAUUGCGCCUGAUACUGUCAGACUAGAGUACUGUAGAGGAAAGUGGAAUUUCCGGUGUAGCGGUGAAAUGCGUAGAUAUCGGAAGGAACACCAGUGGCGAAGGCGACUUUCUGGACAGAUACUGACACUGAGGCACGAAAGCUAGGGGAGCGAAUGGG
rnacentral:rRNA from 1 species